UGUUUCCUGUUUGCUCUCUGUCUUUUGUGGCACCUUUACUAUCUGCUCCGUGUCUGCACACCUGUUCCUCGUUUAAUUAGUUGUAUUUAGUUCCACCUGAGUCCCUCCUUCACUGCUUCAUCAUUAUUCUUUUUUGACGGAUGUGGAUCGGACGGGUUUUAUUCGCAAGCCAAACAUUCCUCCCGCUGUGCCAACCUCACCUGUGGGGUCCCUAGGGCUCAAUACUGGGUUCCAUCCUGUUCUCCAUCUACAUGCUCUCCCUCAGCCAAGUCAUUCAUCGCCAUAAAAUUUCCUCUCAUUUCUACACUGAUGAUACUAAAUCUAUCUUCCACUCAAGACAGACGAUCCCUCUGGACAGGACCAUUUGAAGGACUGCUUGCAGGACAUAAAAGAGUGGAUGUCAAAAUUUCCUGCAGCUCAAUGACAGAGUGAAAUUCUUCUGUUCGGGAACUCCAACCCCCCAACUGUGCACAAUAGCCAAGAUCAAGUCAGUCCUCUCCCCCAGUGACUUAGAGGGUCGUGGUCAUGCUCAUCUUCUGCAGACUGGACUAAUGGAAUGCCCUCUAUGCUGGGGUCACUGACAAGACCAUAUAUAGCAUGCAGUUGGUACAAAAUGCUGGUGACAGGCACAAAAAUGAGGGAACACAUUUCUCCCAUCCUCUCCUCCCUUCACUGGAUCCUGGUGAAGCACAGAGUGAAAUUUAAGAUCCUUGCGUAUGUCUUCAAAGCGCUCCGUGGUCUUACCCCAGCUUACAUCAAACAUCUCCUGGACCAACCUAUCAGCUCCAGGCUUGGUCGUUGCCUCAGAUCUGACAACCAGAUGACCUUGAAGGUCCCACAGUCAAACCUAGUGACAAAGAGAGACCGUGCAUUUUCAAUGAUGGUACCUGGCCUAUGGAAUAAGCUCCCCCUGAAAGUCAAGUCCGCCACCACUCUGGACACUUUUAGAGCACAGCUUAAAACUCACCUCUUUGCCGCAAAUGACUUGAUUUGUGUUCAUGUGUCUUAAAUGUUUGUUCUAAAUUCCUUUCUGUCCCUGUUUUUUUUUGUUUCUCCACUCAGGCUGCACCCCAGGCUGAUGUGAUGGUUGUGUGGGUGCAAUAAUUGAAAAUAACAUUUUGUUUUUAUCUUCAAGGUCAAUUUUGGGGGUCUGGUCAUCAACAAUACAACGUCAAAAUGUAUUUCAUUUGUCAUGGUUUUUGUUAUCUACAAGGUCAAUUUUAAGGAGUCUGUUCAUCUACAAUACAAGGUAAAUUAGUAUUUUAUUUGUGUCAUGGUUUUUAACUACAAGGUCAGUAUGUAUUCAACUUGUGUCCUCAUGGUUUUUGUUAACUACAAGGUCAAUUUUGGGGGGGAAGGGGAGUCUGACGAAUAAAAUACAUAUUGACCUUGUAUUGUAGAUGACCAGACUCCCCUUCAUAUUGACCUUGUAUUGUAGAUGACCAGACUCCCCUUCCCCCCCACAAAUUGACCUUGUUGUUAACAAAAACCAUGAGGACAGAAAUAAAAUACAUAUUUACCUAGUAUUGUAGGUGACCAAAGUUUAUGUUAACUACAAGGUCAAUUUGUGGGGGUUUUUUGGUCAUUGUUUUUGUUUCCUCAUGGUUUUUGAUAUCUACAAUACAAGGUAAAUGUUUUUUUUUCUAAUGUUUUUUAUCUUCAAGGUCAAUUUUGUGGGGUCUAGUCAUCUACAAUACAGGGUCAGUAUGUAUUUGUGUCAUGGUUUUUAACUACAAGGUCAGUAUGUAUUUAACCUGUGUCACUGUUUUUGUUUCCUCAUGGUUUGUGACAUCUACAACACAAUAUAUUGUAUAUUUUAUUUGUGUCAUGGUUUCUAUUAACGUCUAUUUUGGGGGGUGUCUCAUCUCUAAUACAAGGUCAAUAUGUCUUUUUUUUUUGUCAUGGUUUUUAACUACAAAGUCAAUAUUUAAUUUGCCAUAUUUUUUGUCAUCUACAAGGUCAAUUUUAAAGAAUCUGGUCAUCUACAAUACAAGGUAAAUUUGUAUUUUAUUUGUCAUGGUUUUUGUUACUACAAGGUCGGUAUGUAUUUUGGGCCUUUUUUUUUUGUUUCCUCAUGGUUUUUGAUAUCUACAAUACAAAGUUAAUAUGUAUUUCAUUUGUCAUGGUUUUUGUUAUCAGGUCAAUUUUAAGAAGUCUGGUAAUCUACAAUACAAGGUAAAUAUUUUAUUUGUCAUGGUUUUUGUUAACUACAAGGUCAAUUUGCGGGGUUUUGGUCAUAUACAAUAAAAGGUCAGUAUGUAUUUAGUUUGUUUUUUGUUUCCUCAUGUUUUUGAUAUCUACAAUUCGUCUAUUUUGUGUCAUCAUGGUUUCUAUUAACUACAAGGUCAAUUUUGGGUUCUGGUCAUUUUCAAUCCAAGUUCGAUUUGUAUUUAAUUUGUGUCCUUUUCGUCCUCAAGGUCACUUUUGCGGGUCUGGUCAUCUACAAUACAAGGUCAAUAUGUAUUUCAUUUGUCAUGGUUUCUAUUAAUUACAUGGUCAAUUUUGGGGGGCUCUGGUCAUGUACAAUGCAAGGUAAAUUUGUAUUUAAUUAGUGUCCAUGGAUUUAGUUGUCUACAAGGUAAAUUUUAAGGAGUCUUGUCUUCUACAAUACAAGGUAAAUUUGUAUUUUAUUUGUCAUGGUUUUUGUUAUUACAAGGUCGGUAUGUAUUUGGGCCUUUUUUUUUUUCCUCAUGGUUUUUGAUAUCUACAAUACAAGGUUAAUAUGUAUUUCAUUUGUCAUGGUUUUUGUUAUCUACAAGGUCAAUUUGAAGGAGUCUGUUCAUCUACAAUACAAGGUAAAUUUGUAUUUUAUUUGUGUCAUUGUUUUUAACUACAAGGUCAGUAUGUAUUUAACUUGUGUCACUGUUUUUUUUUCCUCGUGGUUUUUGAUAUCUACAAUACAAGGUUAAUAUGUAUUUCAUUUGUCAUGGUUUUUGUUAUCUACAAGGUCAAUUUGAAGGAGUCUGUUCAUCUACAAUACAAGCGCUACAACAGUACACAAGUCUUACACAAUGUGUUAUGGGUCACGUUCCUGCUUCUCCUCCUGCUGUGCGGACUGAGUGCAUGGCGGAGCACAUCAACAGGUGUUCCCUCUCCGCUGCGGGUGUGCCUCUGCAAGAGAUCUGCAAUCAACACACCUGCCGGUGAUGAGCAACCAGCCUUCAUAAGCCAGCGCGUCUUAAGAUCCGGUGCCAGAACGUAGUUUCUCCUACCAGUACACUUCCUCGUCGUCUACCUGGACCCACUUUGGAUUCCCUCUUGCCUCCCUGGACCAAGACCUCGCUCCUGCCCUCUGACGUCCAAGCCUUUUUCUUCUUUUGGACUUCCACCUCUAUCUCAACACGCACACUCAACACCCUCUGGUGACCACGCUCAGAUAAUACUUACACAUAGUCACACUCCAUCUCUUUAAGGUAAUCACACACUGCACUCACAUACUGAGUUGUCAAUAAACACGCUGGCAGCUAA